rnacentral:rRNA from 1 species
UACGAAGGGGCUAGCGUUGCUCGGAAUCACUGGGCGUAAAGGGUGCGUAGGCGGGUCUUUAAGUCAGGGUGAAUCCUGGAGCUCAACUCCAGAACUGGCCUUUGAUACUGAGGAUCUUGAGUUCGGGAGAGGUGAGUGGAACUGCGAGUGUAGAGGUGAAAUUCGUAGAUAUUCGCAAGAACACCAGUGGCGAAGGCGGCUCACUGGCCCGAUACUGACGCUGAGGCACGGAAAGC